rnacentral:rRNA from 1 species
UUUACACAUGCAAGUCGAACGGCAGCACGAGAGAGCUUGCUCUCUUGGUGGCGAGUGGCGGACGGGUGAGUAAUGUAUCGGAACGUGCCCAGUAGCGGGGGAUAACUACUCGAAAGAGUGGCUAAUACCGCAUACGCCCUACGGGGGAAAGGGGGGGAUCGCAAGACCUCUCACUAUUGGAGCGGCCGAUAUCGGAUUAGCUAGUUGGUGGGGUAAAGGCCUACCAAGGCGACGAUCCGUAGCUGGUUUGAGAGGACGACCAGCCACACUGGGACUGAGACACGGCCCAGACUCCUACGGGAGGCAGCAGUGGGGAAUUUUGGACAAUGGGGGGAAACCCUGAUCCAGCCAUCCCGCGUGUGUGAUGAAGGCCUUCGGGUUGUAAAGC